rnacentral:rRNA from 1 species
GAUGAACGCUGGCGGCGUGCUUAACACAUGCAAGUCGAACGAUGAAGCCCAGCUUGCUGGGUGGAUUAGUGGCGAACGGGUGAGUAACACGCGAGUAACCUGCCCUUAACUCUGGGAUAAGCCUGGGAAACUGGGUCUAAUACCGGAUAGGAGCGUCCACCGCAUGGUGGGUGUUGGAAAGAUUUAUCGGUUUUGGAUGGACUCGCGGCCUAUCAGCUUGUUGGUGAGGUAAUGGCUCACCAAGGCGACGACGGGUAGCCGGCCUGAGAGGGUGACCGGCCACACUGGGACUGAGACACGGCCCAGACUCCUACGGGAGGCAGCAGUGGGGAAUAUUGCUCUAUGGGCGAAAGCCUGAUGCAGCGACGCCGCGUGAGGGAUGACGGCCUUCGGGUUGUAAACCUCUUUCAGUAGGGAAAAAGCGAAAGUGGCGGUACCUGCAAAACAAGGACCGGCUUACUACCUGCCCGCGGCCGCGGUAAUACCUAGGGUGCGAGAUUUAUCCGGAAUUAUUGGGGGCUAAGAGGCUCCGAGGCCGUUUGAACCUCUUUUUUGACUCCCGGGCCUUAUCCCGUGUCCUCUGUUUGGACUGUAAAAUAAAACGUCAAAGGGGAAACCUAGAAGUCGGGUGUGUA